rnacentral:rRNA from 1 species
CAAUAGCGUAUAUUAAAGUUGUUGCGGUUAAAAAGCUCGUAGUUGGAUUUCUGUUGGGAACGACCGGUCCGCCCAUUGGGUGUGUAUCUGGCUUGUUCUCGGCAUCUUCUUGGUGAACGUUGCUGCACUUGACUGUGUGGAGCGCUACCCAGGACUUUUACUUUGAGGAAAUUAGAGUGUUUCAAGCAGGCAUAUGCCUUGAAUACAUUAGCAUGGAAUAAUAAGAUAGGACCUCGGUUCUAUUUUGUUGGUUUCUAGAGCUGAGGUAAUGAUUAAUAGGGAUAGUUGGGGGCAUUCGUAUUUAACUGUCAGAGGUGAAAUUCUUGGAUUUGUUAAAGACGGACUACUGCGAAAAGCAUUUGCCAAGGAUGUUUUCAUUGA